rnacentral:lncRNA from 1 species
GUUUCGUCCCCUCCAUCAGGGCUGCAUCUUCGCCUAACCUGCUUUUUUCUCUAAAACAAAAUGAUGUCUGGAAGACUAGCUGGCAUGAGUAGAUUCAAACAUCUGUGUACCAUCUGAAGCAAACUCCAGACCAAUCAUUUGAAGUGAAUUGGGCAGAAGACUCACAAAGAAAGUGGGUUGUACAGAGCAUGGAAGUCCCGGCAGAGAUAAAAGAAAUGGGUCUUGAAGACUUUGGUCACAAGAUAAGUGGCAGACUCCAAUUUGAACUUGGGAGUUCUGACUUCGACUCCAGUUUCCCUCCUCUACAGCAUAGGGAAAGUACCCAGGGUCCUGUGCCCAAGACAUGAGUUUUAAUCCACAUUAAGCAACUCCAUCCUCACUACUCGAGAUAUAAUCUUUGGACCAGCAACUUGAACAGCAUCUAUGUGCUUGUUAGAAUUGCAGAGUCCUGACCCCCACCUAAGAUCUACUAAAUCAGAAUCGGCACUUCAACAAGAACCCCAGAUGAUUCCUAUGUGCACUAAAUUUUGAGAAGUACUGCUGUUCAACUCCGUGAAUAUGGAAAGAUAAUGACCCAGUUGUGUCACUAUACUGUGUCCCUUUGUAACACCACGUUCCCCAGCAGCUUAGCCUCUUCCUGAUGCCCCUGCCUGCCUUCCUCUACUAUGGUACUCUUAUAUCCUCCUAUGGUACUCUCUAACAUUCUAUCUUAUAUUUUAGGCCAGAAAAGACCAAAAGUUUUUUACCUCCUUUGCCAACACAAAGUUCAAUUCACAGUGGUUUCCUAGAGCAUUGUGUUGAACAGGAUUCUGAGGCUCUGUCUGGAGAGGCUGGUAAAAGUCUGAUGUUUGCCAUGGGUGUAGGAAGUGAACGAGCAAAGCAUGUAUGCCAUGGAUUUGCCAUUCUUGUUCUGGACACUCCUUUUCUACUUCUCACUAUCAAUGCUUAUGUAUUUAUUACCUCACUGUCUCAAUGCCAUGCUAAGUAACUGCACAGAAAAUGUGACGAGCCAAUUCCAGCUAAUGGUUGAUCAGUGACUA